CGGGUCCGCAGCAAAGUCAGUCCUCCCCUCCUCAGAAGAAAUAAGUCGACUGAGGGGCCUGAGACAGGAGAGACCGAGGUUUCACUGUUCCUAGCUAAAAUUCCAGGCUCUGUUGCAUCUUGUUAUGUUAAUAUGACACAGUUCUGGCUAAUAACAUGGAGAUGUAAGUCCCUGAGAGAAGGCUUCCUUUCAGAAAUUUGUCUUCAGAAAUAAAAAAGGCAGACCCCUGUGAAGGGCAAAGAAGAAAACUUUUGCUCUCAGAGACUAGAAGCAUGACAGAAAGCUACCCUUAGGUGAUUUGGACUGGUUUGAAGUGCAUGAAACAACAAACAGGAUGCCUAAACAUCCUUUAUUACAAACAGCUAUGAGAAUUUUGAGGCCAAGGAUAUGAUUGCAACAUCCUGCAGGUUCCAGGAUGCCUGAAAACAUGUAUAUGUGACAAGUUCCCAGGGUAUUUCCGUGCCCAUUCGAUGCAUGACACAGUUCUGAAUGCCAACCUGGUAGAAUUAAAAGUACCAGCAUCAUUUCCCUCGAGCAGAAAAAAAUGCUGCUGGAAGCCUUACUAAGUCAAUAAAUGGAACACAUUGUGACAAGAAACAUGAAAUGGGAUUUCCUGAAACACAACAACAUAAAGGCAAGCAAACAAAUGAAAAGUUUAUAAGAAACAAAUGCUAUGCAGCUUCUAUAGAAAAUGACAAUUUCAUAUGCAAGGUUAUUAAGAGAUACACAUGCAAAUUUGGGCUAGUUUUUGAUGCUGUGCCUUUAUUUAUACUUAGAAUUUGAUAUAAUUUUUGGUUCAAUUUGUUACAAUACUGUCAUUAAACCUGAAUACUAAUUUCUCCACAUAAGCAAACUCUAAACAUUCAAUAUUAACAUCAUGCAACUGAAGUACCUUUAUU